rnacentral:rRNA from 1 species
GACGGACGCUGGCGGCGUGCUUAACACAUGCAAGUCGAACGGAAAGGCCCCAGCUUGCUGGGGUACUCGAGUGGCGAACGGGUGAGUAACACGUGGGUGAUCUGCCCUGCACUCUGGGAUAAGCCUGGGAAACUGGGUCUAAUACCGGAUAGGACCGUGCUUUAGUGUGUGCGGUGGAAAGUUUUUCGGUGCAGGAUGAGCCCGCGGCCUAUCAGCUUGUUGGUGGGGUAAUGGCCUACCAAGGCGGCGACGGGUAGCCGGCCUGGAAGGGUGUACGGCCCCAUGGGACUGGGGACACGGCCAGGACCCUUCGGGGGGGAAGCGGGGGGGAUUUUGGAAAAUGGGGCGAAGGCCGAAUGAAGCGCCGCCGGGUGGGGGAGGCCGGCCUUCGGUUGGAAACCCCCUUCCGGCAGGAAGGAGGCUUAGUGGCCGGAACCGGCAUAGGAGGAACCGCCUACUUCGUG